AAGUGAUCCAUCCACCUCGGCCUCCAAAAUUGUGGGAUUACAGGUGUGAGCCACUGUGCCCGGCCAAAGUCUGUUAUUUUGUAGAGUUGAUUGGUAUUUGGUUAUCAAGGCUGUGCUAAGAUUUGCAGCGAUAGAGGAAUAAACAUUUAUGUCUGCCUUUUAAGCUUCUCUUCCAAUGAGCUCAAAUAGUGGUUAUGAUAUUAGAGAGAGGAAAUGCUGGCUGGACAAAUUUCCUCUACUUUUGCUUUAGCUAAGAUCCCCAAGAGGUGAAAUAUUUGCUGUAAUAUGGCAUUUGUGCAUUCAUUCAUAUUAUCUGUUCAUUCAUCAAAUAUGUAUUGGGCUAGAUCCUGUGCCAGGGCUGGACAUACAAUGCUAAGAAAGUAAAAUUCCCCGCCCUCAUGGAGAAUAACAUUCUUCACAGAGUUUGUGGGGAACAGACUCCCUCCAGUACCUUGUGUUUCUCAAGUCUUAAACUCAUCCUCUGCUCUGGAUUUAAAAGCAAAAGUGGCAUCUCCGGGUCUCUCAUGUAAUAUUUGGAGGAACAUUACACUUCCCAUGUAUAUUUCAUGCCUCUUUCCCAAGAUUUUACUGCUGCUUCUAAGGCAGCUAACAGUAGGUAGGAAACUUUGACCUCUCUUUCACUUUGCCCCUUUAGGACCUCCAGUUUUAGACUUCAUCAAGCAAGCCUGGUUUCAUUUCUUCUUGCUUAGCCUGAUGAACCAGUGUGCUGUACACCACUGUUGGAAACACUGGUACAAAGUUCUGGUACAGAACUCUUUCUGAAUAUUAAUCUCCUGUAUUGCUAUGCCAGAAUCAGAUUCUCCAGAGAAAGAACUUCUAUAUGGAAAGAGGCAGAUUGCUGGAAGGAGUAAAUAAUUCACAGACAACUCAUAAGCCCUGAGCUCUGGUCUGUCUCUGCCAAUUAAAUGCUGUGGAACUUUUGGGUAAGUCAUUUAAAAUAUCUGGGUUUCAGAUGAUUCAGUUACAUAUGAGUGGGUCCAACCCUCGAAUCUUCUCACUUGUCUUAGUGAUGAUGAGCUAAUGAUGUCUGGUGGAGCCUCAUCUGUUGAGAUUUUGGAGGUGUGGGUUAAAGUUGUGUCCCUCAAAGCAUUUCUUCCUCUCAGGCAUACCAGAGGUGAGAUUCACAGACCACAAAGAUAGUAUGAAUUUAAACUGCAAAUGCAGGAGAAAAUGAUUCAUAGUUAGAAUUCUCAGAGUAAUAUUGGUUUUAAAGACAAUGUAACCUAGAGGACAAGAUGAGACCAGAAAGCUCUCUUGUCACACCUCUUUGCCAGUGGGUGGAUGUUAUUCCUAAUCUACCCUUUUACUGAAGUAUAAGCCUUUGAGGGUGCUGAUACUAGAUAACUUACACUCUAGCUUCCUACUAUAGAUUCAAGGCUUUAUCUCCUGUCCUCACAUGGCUGUUAAAAUAGUAGCCCCUCAGUUAUCAAGUCCAGCAACAUUUAUCAGGGCAGUCUGAGCUGCAUUUCUGUUUCAUUUCUGGCUUUGCCCCGAGGGAUUUCUCUUACUUUCUUGCAUGUUCAGUUAUAUAUUUAAAAGCAUGUUUAUUAUAUUUUGUCCAUCAUUUCCAGGUGUUUUUUGAUAGGAGGGUUCUCAGUUAAUUUACUAUAUUGCCAUAAAUGGAAGUCAGCCCUCUAAAUUCUAUGAUUCUGUGACUAUUAACCUCUUUUCUCCCAUUGAGCUAAUUUGGAUAUUUAUCUUAUUUCAUCUUGAUUCAUUGGGUGUUCUGACUCCAUGGUGUGUUGGAAAUAUCCUCAGUUCUCUUGGAGGAAUAUUAAUAAGAAAUUGCAUAAGUGAACCAAAAAAACCUAAAAGCUAAUGGCUGUAACUUUGAUAUUUACAUGUUGGGGCUGACCCUAGCAUGGAGAUAUUCAAUUGUCCUCCCUCUAAUAUUUCAGCCUAUGCCAUGAUACAGACCAUUAAGGUCACUUGUGUUGCUUUACUCGGCAAGUAUAACUUGUGAUAUACUUGUAAUAUUGUGAAAGAUUAAACUUAAAUGGCAAUAUUAAAUGUCAGCAAAAGUUAAAUCAGUGGUGUACUAAAGAGACUCCAGUUCUAUCUAAUGCCUAACAUAGGGAAGGUCUGACUGCCCUUUGGACUGGAUAUGAUCUUGGGUUUCUUAGACAUUGGAGGCUGAGGUACCUUAUCUACUGCCUCACAGUUCUGGAGGCUCUACAGCUGCUAUUAACAUGUCAGUAGGGUUGGUUUCUUCUGAGACCUCUCUCCUGGGCUUGCAGGUGGCCAUCUUCUCCCUGUGUCCCAACGUGGUCUUCCCUCUUUGUGUGUCUGUGCCCUAAUCUUUUUUUCUUAUAAGGAUACCAUUCAGAUUGGAUUAGGAUCCACUCGUAUAACCUCAUUUUACCUUAGUUAUCUAAAGACCCUAUUUCCAAAUACAGUCAUGUUUUGAGGUACUGGGUGGUAGGACUUCAAUAUUUGAAUUUGAGGGGACAAAAUUCACCCUUCAGGAAUGUAAAAGGUGGUCUGCUAAUAGGCCUAUGGAUUAUCAAGUCAUUUUUUUUUUAAAGAUAAGUGAUUGUAUUUCUUUCUAGAGCUAUUACAGUGGUUCAUACUGGCUUAACUUUAUUAUUCUCUUCCAUCAAUUUUCUAAUUUAAUAAAAGUUAAAACCUUCUAUUAUGAAAAAUUUCAAACUCUCACAAAAAUAGAGUAAAUAGUAUAAUGAAUUCAGUGUCCUCACUGCCUAGUAUUAUGGGUUGAAUUGUGUUUCCCAAAAAUUCAUAUGAUGAAGUCCUAACCCCCAGCACCUCAGAAUGUGACUGUAUUUGGAGAUAGGGUCUUCAGAUAAUUAAGGUAAAAUGAGGUCCAUGAGUGGACCUAAUCCAACCUGACUGGUAUUCUUACAAGAAGAGGAGAUUAGGACACAGACACACACAGAGAGAAGAUCAUGUGGGGACAUAAGAAGAUGGCCAUCUACAAGCCGAGGAGAGGGGCCUCAGAAGAAACCAAUGCUGCUAACAUCUUGCUAUCAGUUACCUAGCCCCCAGAACUGUGAGACAGUACAUUCUGUUUUUUAAACCACAGAAGACACGUAUUGCAUGACUAUUUUUUUUAAGUCCAGAAUAGGCAAAUCUGUAGAGAUAGAACAUAGAUAAGUGAUUGCAUAGGGCUUAUAAGUUGGAGGUAAUUGGAAAGUGACUGCCAGUGGGUAUCAGGUUUCAUUUUGGGGUAAUGAAAAUGUUUGAAAAUUGACUGUUGUGAUGGUUGCCCAACUCUAUAAAUAUACUACAAAACAUUGCACUAUACAAAUUAAAUGUGUGCAUUGUAUGAUGUGAAUUAAAUUCCAGUAAGCCUGUUUUUAAAGACUCAAAGAAAAUUAAAGAAUGACUGAAAACUUUCCAAGUUUGAUGAAAAUUAUAAUGCUACAAAUCCAAGAAUCUCAAAAAACCUUAAGCACAAGAAAGGUUAAGAACAUGACCCCACGCCGGGUGCGGUGGCUCAUGCCUGUAAUCCCAGCACUUUGGGAGGCUGAGGCGGGUGAGCCACUUGAGGUCAGAAGUUCGAGACCAGCCUGACCAACAUGGAGAAACCCUGUCUCUACUAAAAAUACAAAAUUAGCCAGGUGUGGUGGCACAUGCCUGUAAUCCCAGCUACUUGGGAGGCUGCCGCAGGAGAAUUGCUUGAACCGGGAGGCAGAGGUUGUGGUGAGCCAAGACUGUGCUAUUGCACUCCAGCCUGGGUGACAGAGCAAGACUCCAACAAAACAAAAACAAAAACAAAAACAAAAAAAGAAACAAAAACAAAAACACAUGACCCCAAAGCGCAACAUCAUCAAAUUGCUUAAAAUUAGUGAUUUGGGUCCUCUGGAAUUAAAAGAAAAGAGAGAGAGAAACUAGUGAUAAGAAGAAAGCAGUCAGAGGGAGUUGGGGAAUGACGUUGUUUACGGAAGGAUGACAACAGAUUUCUUCUCAGAAAAAAUGUAAACCAGAAGACAGUGGUACUACAUUUUUGAAGUUUAAGUGCUGCUUGACUUAUGAUGGGGUUAUGUUCCAAAAAACUCAUCAUAAAUUGAAAAUAUCAUGUCUAAAAUACACUUUCAACUUACAUUUUUGAUUUAUGAUGUGUUUAUCUAGACAUAAUUCCAUCAUUAGUCAAGGAAUGUACUGAAUGUGUUUCACUUUUACACCAUCAUAAAAUUAAAAAGUCGUAAGUCAGGGAAAAUCUGUACUGCAAGAAAAACACUGUUAACCUAGAUAUCUUUGCCUAGUGAAAAUAUCUUUCAGAAAUGAAGAUGAGAUAAAGGCUUUUCAUACCAACAAAAGUGGAAAGAAUUCAUCAUAAGAAGACUUGAGUGAGAAGAAAUGCUAAGAAAGCUCUUCAAGUAGAAGAAAAUGAUACCAGAUGGAAAUCUGGAUCUCCACAAAGGAACAAAAAGUAUUGAGAAUGGGAACUAUCCUAUGUGGUGCUGGGGAUGCCAGAGUUGGAAUUCAAGACCCAGGGAGAAGGGCUUCAGUCAGCACUCCAGUACCUCAGCUGGGAAUCCUGGAGGCUAUACCCUAUGUAUGGGGAAAAUGAGAGGUAGAUGGAAACUAAAAAACAAACAAACAAACCAGUCCCUGAUUAGUUGUGACUUUAUCUGCCUACCAGAAAAUAGGACUAGCCCUCUCUGGAAGAUGAUAGCAUUAUCCAGAACCUCAUACACAAAAUUUACCCAGGACACUCAUGAAGAGGAGGAAGAAAAGACAACAUAAACAGACAUACAGGUCACCUACUUAUUGGAGUUAACAGAUGGAUGUUCAAAUCUGUAUUAUUCUUAUAUUCAAGAGAAUGAAUGACAAAGAGUAGAAUUCCACUGGAGAACUAGUUAACCAAGGCUAGAUGGCUUCAUUGAAAGACUUUGUCAAGCAUGAAUAAAGCCACUAUAAAUAUUCUUGCACAAGUCUCUUUGUGAAUACAUUUUUAUUCCUUUAGGUAAACGCCUAGCGGAGGAAUUGCUGGGUCAUACAUAGGGUAGGAGUAUUAUAACCUUAUAAGAAACUGUCAAAUGGUUUCCAAAAUGGUUUCACCCAUUUAUAUUCCCACAGACUUUAUUCAUAAUAACCAAUCCUGAGGGAAAAUCUAUAAUGUUCGUCAAAAGAAGGAAAUCCUGGCUGUGCCUAUAAUCACAGCAUUCUGGGAGGCCAAGGCAGGAGGAUCACUUGAGCCC
rnacentral:lncRNA from 1 species